AUUGAACGCUGGCGGCAGGCCUAACACAUGCAAGUCGAGCGAGCGGCGGACGGUUGAGUAAUGUCUGGGAACCCGCCUGAAGGCGGCCGAUAACUACUGGAUACGGUAUCUAAUCACGCAUUCCAUCAGAUUUGCCCAGAUGGUAUUAGCUAGUAGGUGGGGUAAUGGCCCACCUAGGCGACGAUCCCUAGCUGGUCUGAGAGGAUGAUCAGCCACACGGGGACUGAGACACGGGCCAGACUCCUACGGGAGGCAGCAGUGGGGAAUAUUUCACAAUGGGCGCAAGCCUGAUGCAGCAAUGCCGCGGGUGUGAAGAAGGCCUUCGGGUUGUAAAGCACUGUCAGCGGGGAGGCGUUACCCGCAGAAAAAGCACCGGCUAACUCCGUGCCAGCAGCCGCGGUAAUAC
rnacentral:rRNA from 1 species